GAGGCGUAGUGUAGUCGGUUGAACAUACCUGCCUGUCACGCAGGAGAUCGCGGGUUCGAGUCCCGUCGCCUCC
rnacentral:tRNA from 1 species